CACCCCCCCAUCUCUCUUCAACCUGUCCGCCCUCCCUCCCUUCUCACAGCUAUAUAAACAGUAGGAAGGGUGAGUGGAGCCCUGUGCUGUCCCCUGGUGGUGUCUGUCUACCGCCUCCCCUCCUUCUUUCACCACCACCUCCACUCCCCCACCAAUGCUUUAUUAAUCAGUGGGGGGAAGGGGUGAUGGAGGUGGUGGUGGUGGGCAGUGAAGAACCCUGUCCAUUGUUGCUUGAUCUUGUAGAAAAAGCAGCUAAAUCACUUUAAAAAAGGAAGGACGUGGGCUUAUAUAGUCCAAGAUACACAAUGUCUGGACGAAGGAAAAAAAAGCAAGUGAUGGAGUGAUGGUCAUGGCCAGAACGCCUUUUGAUCAUACCAUAUGUUCAAUUAUAAAUGACCUAAAAUUAAACAACAAGCUGAUCCUUUUUAUGCUCCUUUGAUCCCUUUCUUGUUAGCUGUGGGGAGUUGGAAGUGAACAGGGCCUAGAAUAGAGGCAGGUGUAUAUGGGUCGAAGGGGGUGAAGUGUGGGCCCAAGGAACCCUGUUCCUGUGUUUAUUUGCAGGUUCUUUGACCCUUUUUCCUAUCCCAUAUCACAUAUGAUACACAUUAACAAUUCUUUUAGGGUUUUUUUUGCAACCACCAGAGUAACUUGGCCCUUAUGAAAGGAAAGCUUUAUAUUACCCAGAAUGGAUGAAAAAAGGGGUUAAUUUAACUAAAAGUCUGGAAACAAGCAUGGAAAAACUUAUAAAAAAGGGGUCAAAUGAAUACCAGUCAUGUGCUGGGGGAAGGAAAGGAGUCAAUUUGAUUAUACACACUCAACCCCCUUCAAAAUUUGUGGUCCUUGUCCUUGAAAAUAUUUCGUUGCGUUCCCUUCACAUUCCCUCACCAAAUCCUGUUGAACCCUAGGUCAACCCCUUGAUUAAGUAGACCUACUAUCAUACAUUUCAGUUAUGAUGGGUGUAUCUUUGCUUUUGAAAGAGGUAUAAGUGUAUUGAGGACUACAAGAUCCGAUGUGUCCUUUCUCUUUUUUUUUUUAAGAUAAUGGGGGAGUCAUUUAAGGGACAUUUAGCUACUUUUGCUUGCAGACCACAUUGUGACUCCCUUGUUGCUAGCUUGCUUAACCCCAGGUCAUGUCUGAUCCACUAGACCCAGUCAUAGAUAGGACUGCCUUUUCAUCAGACAUAGUGUAUCUAUGUCCUUCCUUUUUAAAAA